rnacentral:rRNA from 1 species
GACGAACGCUGGCGGCGUGCUUAACACAUGCAAGUCGAACGGAAAGGCCCUGCUUUUGUGGGGUGCUCGAGUGGCGAACGGGUGAGUAACACGUGAGUAACCUGCCCUUGACUUUGGGAUAACUUCAGGAAACUGGGGCUAAUACCGGAUAGGAGCUCCUGCUGCAUGGUGGGGGUUGGAAAGUUUCGGCGGUUGGGGAUGGACUCGCGGCUUAUCAGCUUGUUGGUGGGGUAGUGGCUUACCAAGGCUUUGACGGGUAGCCGGCCUGAGAGGGUGACCGGCCACAUUGGGACUGGGAUACGGCCCAGACUCCUACGGGAGGCAGCAGUGGGGAAUAUUGCACAAUGGGCGGAAGCCGGAUGCAGCAACGCCGCGUGCGGGAUGACGGCCUUCGGGUGGUAAACCGCUUUCGCCUGUGACGAAGCGUGAGUGACGGUAUGGGUAAAGAAGCACCGGCUAACUACGUG